CAAGGAGAAUAUCUGAUGGAGUCUUACUAGCAUGUCAAAAGAUGAUUCUCUAGUAAAAGUGGUGCAAGUGAUCCUUAGAUCUGAGAUCAUGAUGGUACCUUAUGUAUAUGGACUAUAUUUUGAUCCAUACCUUAGCAUAACUCUUUGAGAUAUAUAUUGAAUGUUCUGGGCAGGGUGAAGUAUGCAUGAAGAUUGUAAGUGAUUAACAAGAAAUCAAUCACUCUUUGUAAAAAGAAAGAACAUCCUAUGUGAUCUCAUAGGAUGAUGACUUAUAAAGUUUUUGAACAAAGCAGGACAAAUAAUAGAAAGAGUUUUGAAUAUUUUAUCAACCAAAUUAUCGUCAUCAGAUCGAGAUACAUAUGGAUAAGUAUUUGAGCUUGACAUG
rnacentral:lncRNA from 1 species